rnacentral:rRNA from 1 species
GUGGUAAUGCCGGAUGCUCCGACUCCUCGCAUGGGGUGUCGGGAAAGAUUUCAUCGGUAUGGGAUGGGGUCGCGUCCUAUCAGGUAGUCGGCGGGGUAACGGCCCACCGAGCCUACGACGGGUAGCCGGCCUGAGAGGGUGACCGGCCACAUUGGGACUGAGAUACGGCCCAGACUCCUACGGGAGGCAGCAGUGGGGAAUAUUGCACAAUGGGCGCAAGCCUGAUGCAGCGACGCCGCGUGCGGGAUGACGGCCUUCGGGUUGUAAACCGCUUUUGAUCGGGAGCAAGCCUUCGGGUGAGUGUACCUUUCGAAUAAGCACCGGCUAACUACGUGCCAGCAGCCGCGGUAAUACGUAGGGUGCAAGCGUUAUCCGGAAUUAUUGGGCGUAAAGGGCUCGUAGGCGGUUCGUCGCGUCCGGUGUGAAAGUCCAUCGCUUAACGGUGGAUCUGCGCCGGGUACGGGCGGGCUGGAGUGCGGUAGGGGAGACUGGAAUUCCCGGUGUAACGGUGGAAUGUGUAGAUA